AUUUUAUUUAUGUAUUUUUUUUCUUGCAUAUUUUAGUGAGUCUGAAUGCUCCAUAUGGUUUUGUGGUCUUAGUGCCACGUCUAUGUUUUAUUGCUUGUACGUGCAUGUGUGUGCGCUUGUUGUUGGCAUGAGUGUAUACGCUUGAGAAACUGUAGUGUUGACCUGUCCUUGCUCCUGCCAGCAUAGCCUGAGAGAGCACAUGGCCUCGUACACAAUCCCCACUGGGCUGAUUGUGGUGGAGGAGAUGCCUAGGAACCAGAUGGGGAAAGUGAAUAAGAGAGACCUGCUGCGCCAGUUCUUCCCCCACUGACAGUCUUCUCCAUUCUCCACUCCUCCACUCUACCCGCUGACCUGGGGUCAGUGCUGUGGGUUUGUGUUACACGGUGGAAGUCUUGGGUGGCUGAUCCAGGAUCAGGUCAUGAAGAGGAACACCAGCGGAUUCAGCGAAGCUCCAGGUUUACCUAAUCUCUGGUGAUCAGAGGGAACUGUGCACACAUCACCUGUACACCUGCUUAAUUCUGUCUGUCAAGUAAAGCAGCACUCUUGGCUCUCAGCUCCUGUAAGGAAGGAUUAUUAACAUGACUGAAGAAUUUAAAGAUUCAAGUCACUGUAGGUUGGUUUAUUUUAGUAAUUAUUAAGUAAAAUAUUAAUCAUUUCUUCCUUUGAAUUUUUAAUAGUGCAUCUUUUAAACAUUAAACGAAUUGCAUAAUGUUGUUUGUUGCCUAGCAGCGUUAGCCAGCCAGGCGAAUAGAGCAUAAGGGCAACUCAUUAAGGUAGAGGUGUGUGUGUGUGGGGGGGGGGUACAAGGAGAGAGAAAGAGAGAUGCAGCUGCUAUGACGACAGAGCUCUAAAAUAAAAUCGUUAUUAAUUGUUUGUUAAUUGUUAUUGUGAUUCUCUUGUAGUGCUGAUGUAUUGUAGAAAUAGCAUUAUUGUCAUUUGUAAUGUUCAACCUUCAUCAGUUUGGUUUAAAUCAGUCACAAUGUGGACCAAUAACAUAACAAAUAAUGCCAUAUUUGGCUUCAUUCGCGUCUGAGGUGGCCUACACCUCCCCAGAAUGCUUUGCUGUAAGGGAAGACGUACAACCCCGAUUCCAAAAAAAAAAGUUGGGACGCUGUGUAAAAUGUAAGUAAAAACAGAAUGCAAUGAUUUGCAAAUCUCAUAAACCCAAAUGUUAUUCACAAUAGAGCAUAGAAAACAUAAAUGUUUAAACUGAGGAAAUGAACCAUUUUAAGGAAAAAAGAAGG
ensembl:lncRNA